rnacentral:rRNA from 1 species
GACAGAGGUGCCAAGCGUUAGGCGGAAUCACUGGGCUUAAAGCGUGUGUAGGCGGGUGAUCAAGUACCUUGUGAAAUCCCACGGCUCAACCGUGGAACCGCUGGGUAUACUGGUUGUCUUGAGCCGGCUAGGGGCGAGCGGAACAGACGGUGGAGCGGUGAAAUGCGUAGAUAUCGUCUGGAACGCCGAAGGUGAAAACAGCUCGCUGGGGCCGCGCUGACGCUGAGACACGAAAGCCAGGGGAGCGAACGGG